rnacentral:rRNA from 1 species
AUUGAACGCUGGCGGAAUGCUUUACACAUGCAAGUCGAACGGCAGCACGGACUUCGGUCUGGUGGCGAGUGGCGAACGGGUGAGUAAUGUAUCGGAACGUGCCCAGUCGUGGGGGAUAACGUAGUGAAAAUUACGCUAAUACCGCAUACGAUCUAUGGAUGAAAGGGGGGGAUCGCAAGACCGCGCGCGAUUGGAGCGGCCGAGAUCAGAUUAGGUAGUUGGUGGGGUAAAGGGCCACCAAGCCAACGAUCUGUAGCUGGUCUGAGAGGACGACCAGCCACACUGGAACUGAGACACGGUCCAGACUCCUACGGGAGGCAGCAGUGGGGAAUUUAGGACAAUGGGCGAAAGCCUGAUCCAGCCAUUCCGCGUGCAGGAUGAAGGCCCUCGGGUUGUAAACUGCUUUUGUACAGAACGAAAAGGUUUCUACUAAUACUAGGAGCUCAUGACGGUACUGUAAGAAUAAGCACCGGCUAACUACGUGCCAGCCGCCGCCGUAA